rnacentral:rRNA from 1 species
UACGUAGGUGGCAAGCGUUGUCCGGAUUUAUUGGGUUUAAAGGGUGCGUAGGCGGUUUCUUAAGUCAGUGGUGAAAUACGGCAGCUCAACUGUCGAGGUGCCAUUGAUACUGGGAAACUUGAGUACUGAUGAGGUAGGCGGAAUGGACGGUGUAGCGGUGAAAUGCUUAGAGAUCGUCCAGAACACCGAUAGCGAAGGCAGCUUACUACACAGUUAUUGACGCUGAGGCACGAAAGCGUGGGGAGUCAAACAGG